rnacentral:rRNA from 1 species
AUUGAACGCUGGCGGCAUGCCUUACACAUGCAAGUCGAACGGCAGCACGGGAGCAAUCCUGGUGGCGAGUGGCGAACGGGUGAGUAAUGUAUCGGCACGUGCCCAGUCGUGGGGGAUAACGUAGCGAAAGCUACGCUAAUACCGCAUACGCCCUCUGGACGAAAGCGGGGGAGCGCAACACCUUGCGCGAUUGGAGCGUCAGAUAUCAGACUAGGUAGUUGGUGGGGUAAAGGCUAACCAAGCCGACGAUCUGUAGCUGGUCUGAGAGGACGACCAGCCACACUGGGACUGAGACACGGCCCAGACUCCUACGGGAGGCAGCAGUGGGGAAUUUUGGACAAUGGGCGCAAGCCUGAUCCAGCAAUGCCGCGUGCAGGAUGAAGGCCUUCGGGUUGUAAACUGCUUUUGUACGGAGCGAAAAGGCUCUCUCUAAUACAGGGGGCUCAUGACGGUACCGUAAGAAUAAGCACCGGCUAACUACGUGCCAGCCGCCGCGGUAAAAC